UAGGGAAUCUUCGGCAAUGGACGAAAGUCUGACCGAGCAACGCCGCGUGAGUGAAGAAGGUUUUCGGAUCGUAAAACUCUGUUGUUAGAGAAGAACAAGGACGUUAGUAACUGAACGUCCCCUGACGGUAUCUAACCAGAAAGCCACGGCUAACUACGUGCCAGCAGCCGCGGUAAUACGUAGGUGGCAAGCGUUGUCCGGAUUUAUUGGGCGUAAAGCGAGCGCAGGCGGUUUCUUAAGUCUGAUGUGAAAGCCCCCGGCUCAACCGGGGAGGGUCAUUGGAAACUGGGAGACUUGAGUGCAGAAGAGGAAAGUGGAAUUCCAUGUGUAGCGGUGAAAUGCGUAGAUGUAUGGAGGAACACCAGUGGCGAAGGCGGCUCUCUGGUCUGUAACUGACGCUGAGGCUCGAAAGCGUGGGGAGCAAACAGG
rnacentral:rRNA from 1 species